AUUUUAAUAGCUUAUUUAGAGCAUGAUAGUGAAGUUAUCAAGGAGACUUUAUGUCUUAAAAUA
rnacentral:tRNA from 1 species